AGACGAUUGGGAGAGCGGUUUAAUCCGCCACCUUGGAAAGGUGGUUUAGAGCAAUCUAACGAGGGUUCAAAUCCCUCAUCGUCUGCCA
rnacentral:tRNA from 1 species